GGGGAUCUAGCUCAGUGGUAGAGCACUUGCCUAGCAAGCGCAAGGCCCUGGGUUCGGUCCCCA
rfam:Rattus norvegicus chromosome 3, whole genome shotgun sequence.